AUUUUCUAAUUUCAUCUCCCCACCUUGUCUUCUGCCGUCCCCGACGGCGCUUCCCUUCUCUUGGUUCCCAUUCUGUAACUCUAAUAGUCCACAUGUUAUACAUCCUACGCA
rnacentral:lncRNA from 1 species